AUCAUUUCUCAGCCAUUUAGCUAAGAUCAAUUGUAGUACCUGCUCUUACCAGUUGAAAAGGAAAGAAAAUACAUAUGUUACUUUUCUUUGAAAUGGAGUUAUGGAGUUUAUGGAGAUUCAGAAUGGUAUUGAGCUUAAACUGCAUAUAAAUACACAUAAUCUCACUGCUAUGUUAUUUUUGGGUUUUCA